ACUUUCACGUCCACAUGGAAAACCUGCAGCGGCCUGUCCACGAUUACCUCCAGGUGGAUGCUGCACUCCGCGCUCCGCUCGCACAGUUCCUCGCGGUCUAUCCGAGAAUUCACAAACAAAAUGCCAUUCUGCAGAUUUACCUCCAGAAGGUCCCCGUGUGUUUUGGACGCCACCCGGAACAGGCGCGGCACCAGCUCCACCACCUCCAGCCCCAGGUCCUGCGCGAUGCGGCCUACGAAGGUGCCGUGCUUGGCCUCCUCAGAGACUGAGUAGUGGAGCUGGCCGCUCCCCACCUCCCAGGCUGCAAGGAGCAGAAGAGAAAGCAGCAGGCACUGGGCUCCAGGAUCUUCUCGCCAGGAGAACAACAUUAGAGGAUGAAGCAAAGCAGUAUCUGAAUACGUAAUGCACGCUGUAUUUCUUUUGUGGAGAAAGACCUUGUGGUGGACAGCGACAUCAUGUGGCUAAACGUUUCCAUUCAAGACAAAACUGCCAUUAAUAGGAUAUCUACAUUC
rnacentral:antisense_RNA from 1 species